GCCCGUAUAGCACAGUGGUAGUGCGUUGCACUUGUAGAUCAUUCAAUCUGACAUGCAAAGGUCCUCCGAUCAAACCGGAGUGCGGGCA
rfam:Kockovaella imperatae strain NRRL Y-17943 BD324scaffold_1, whole genome shotgun sequence.